AGACAUUCUUCACCAACAAAGAAACAAAGGCUUGACCUGGGAGGCCCCUAGUAACAGUAGCUCUGGAGACAUUUACUUCUGCGCCUCCUUCGUCCAGACCUACUCCACCUUCUGGGUGAAGGUGACCAGCGAAGAUGUGAGACUGGACAGCUCGGUGAACAGGAUCCCUGCUGGGAGCAUGGUCAGGAGACGUCAUGACAUCAUGAUGACAUCAUGAUGACAUCAUUACACACAGCCAAAAGCAUCAUUACCCACACCAAAGGAUGAACAACUAAUUAACACCGCACUCCUCCUGACCGGACUCUCCGUGGGGUGGGGCGGCCUGUCGCCCUGAGCACCCUGUCAGCAUGACCCUAUUAGCAGCACCUUGCUAGCAGCACCCUCUCAGUCUCCUCCCGGGGCCUAUCGUCCCCCUCAGGGGUCUCCAGAAUAACGUCUACAAUAAUAAAGGCCCCCCCCCUCCUUCUGCC
ensembl:lncRNA